AACGAACGCUGGCGGCGUGCCUAACACAUGCAAGUCGAGCGCGAAUGGAGCAAUCCUAGUAGCGCGGCGAACGGGUGCGUAACACGUGGGUAAUCUGCCUAGAAGACUGGAAUAACCUGCCGAAAGGCUGGCUAAUACCGGAUAAGACCACAGAGUCUUCGGACUCCGAGGGAAAAUGGUGGCCUCUGUAUACAAGCUAUCACUUCUAGAUGAGCCCGCGGCCCAUCAGCUAGUUGGCAGGGUAAUGGCCCACCAAGGCAACGACGGGUAGCUGGGCUGAGAGGACGAUCGGCCACAUUGGGACUGAGAUGCGGCCCAGACUCCUACGGGAGGCAGCAGUGGGGAAUCUUGCGCAAUGGGCGAAAGCCUGACGCAGCGACGCCGCGUGCGGGAGGAAGCCCUUCGGGGUGUAAACCGCUGUCAGGGGGGAAGAAAGACGAGGGGAGGAAAUGCCCUUUCGUGUGACGGUACCUCCAGAGGAAGCACCGGCUAACUCUGUGCCAGCAGCCGCGGUAAAAC
rnacentral:rRNA from 1 species